CUGCCUUAAACUAAUGAGUAAGGAAAACAAAGCAAGCGGUGAGAGCUGCUUGCCGCGCCUAUCUCUAUGAUGCGCAAGAAUUUAUGGAGGGGUUAAGGGCUGGCCGAGCGUUGACGCUGCUUACUUUUGCAGAACUCGCUUGUGCGGGCCUCCCAAACCC
rfam:Vitis vinifera, whole genome shotgun sequence of line PN40024, unoriented chromosome 7, chr7